GUAGAUACGGUGAUAUGGUACCCGCAACAAUAAUCGGCAAAGUAGUUGGAAGCGUUUGUUCGCUGAGUGGAGUACUGGUCAUAGCACUUCCCGUUCCAGUCAUUGUUUCAAAC
rfam:Helobdella robusta unplaced genomic scaffold HELROscaffold_11, whole genome shotgun sequence.